rnacentral:rRNA from 1 species
GACUAACGCCGGCGGCGUGGUUAACACGUGCAAGUCGAACGCAGAGCGAUGGAAGCCCGCUUGUAUCAAUCUUAGUGGGGAACGGGUGAGUAACGCGUACUCAACCUGCCCUUCAGAGGGGGACAACAGUAGGAAACGACGCCUAAUACCGCCUACGAUCCGACCUCGGCAUAGAGGGAGGCAGAAACGUCGCCUAGAGAUAUAAGCUAUCAAGGAGGGACGGGUCAGCGUUCGUUGAGGUAGUGGGAAGGGUAACGGCCCACCAAGCCGAUGUUCACAAGCCGGUUCGCCAUGAUGAAGGGCCACAUUGGGAGUGAGACUCGGCCCAGACUCCUCCGGGAGGCAGCAGUGGGGAAUCUUCCGCAAUUGAUGAAAGUCGGACGGAGCAACGCCGCCUGAGUGAUUACUGCUUUCGGGUUGUAAAGCUCUCUUCUCGGGACGAAAGGCCUUUUU